ACAAAUUCCUUUCUCUUUUCUUUGUUCUCUUUAGAAAGGAGAUGUAAGAUUCUUGAUUUGCACAGAUGUAGCUGCCAGAGGAAUUGAUAUCCAUGGUGUUCCUUAUGUUAUAAAUGUCACCCUGCCUGAUGAAAAGCAAAACUAUGUACAUCGAAUUGGUAGAGUAGGAAGAGCUGAAAGGAUGGGUCUGGCCAUUUCCCUGGUGGCAACAGAAAAAGAAAAGGUAAUCUUU